GUUCGCUGUAAUUGAAGGUUGCGGGUUCACCCGUAAAGCUUAUAUCUUACAAUCUUUAUAGAAAAUAAGUAUCGUGAGAGAACGGUGAAAAAAAUCUGAGAAAGAAUUGAAAAAUUCUGAAAUUUAAUGCACACAGCAGUUGAUGUGGUAUAAUAUCAACGUACCUUUUGCAUAAUGUUCUAGCUAGUUUAUUAAAAUAGCGAGCUUAUAAAAAAUUAAGCGUAUUGAAAAUGAUAGUUAUUUUAAUAAGACCCGAAGCUAAGCGAUCUAAUUAUGGACAGGCUAAAAUAAAAAAUUUAGAGGGCCGAACCUGUGAAUGUUGCAAAAUUCUAGGAGGAUCUGUAAUUAGGGGUGAAAGGCUAAUCAAGCUUAGUGAUAGCUGGUUUUCCGCGAAAACCUAUGGACGCAGGGG
rnacentral:rRNA from 1 species